AUUGAACGCUGGCGGCAGGCCUAACACAUGCAAGUCGAACGAGUGGCGGACGGGUGAGUAAUGUCUGGGAAACUGCCCGAUGGAGGGGGCUAACUACUGGACACGGUAGCUAAUACCGCAUACCAUCGGAUGUGCCCAGCUGGGAUUAGCUUGUAGGUGUGGUACAGGCUCACCUAGGCGACGAUCCCUAGCUGGUCUGAGAGGUUGACCAGCCACACUGGAACGUAGACACGGUCCAGACUCCUACGGGCGGCAGCAGGGGGGAAUAGUUCACAAUGGGCGCAAGCCUGAUGCAGCCAUGCCGCGUGUAUGAAGAAGGCCUUCGGGUUUUAAAGUACUUUCAGCGGGGAGGCGUUACCCGCAGAAGAAGCACCGGCUAACUCCGUGCCAGCAGCCGCGGUAAUAC
rnacentral:rRNA from 1 species